rnacentral:rRNA from 1 species
UGGGGAAUAUUGGACAAUGGGCGAAAGCCUGAUCCAGCCAUGCCGCGUGUGUGAAGAAGGUCUUCGGAUUGUAAAGCACUUUAAGUUGGGAGGAAGGGCAGUAAGCGAAUACCUUGCUGUUUUGACGUUACCGACAGAAUAAGCACCGGCUAACUCUGUGCCAGCAGCCGCGGUAAUACAGAGGGUGCAAGCGUUAAUCGGAAUUACGGGGCGUAAAGCGCGCGUAGGUGGUUCGUUAAGUUGAAUGUGAAAGCCCCGGGCUCAACCUGGGAACUGCAUCCAAAACUGGCGAGCUAGAGUAGGGCAGAGGGUGGUGGAAUUUCCUGUGUAGCGGUGAAAUGCGUAGAUAUAGGAAGGAACACCAGUGGCGAAGGCGACCACCUGGGCUCAUACUGACACUGAGGUGCGAAAGCGUGGGGAGCAAACAGG